GACGAACGCUGGCGGCGUGCUUAACACAUGCAAGUCGAACGGUGAAGCGCCUUCCUUUUUGGUGGGUGUGGAUGAGUGGCGAACGGGUGAGUAACACGUGAGUAACCUGCCCCCUUCUUCUGGAUAACCGCAUGAAAGUGUGGCUAAUACGGGAUAUUCUGGGUCUGUCGCAUGAUGGGUCUGGGAAAGAUAUUGUUUCGGUGGGGGAUGGGCUCGCGGCCUAUCAGCUUGUUGGUGGGGUGAUGGCCUACCAAGGCGGUGACGGGUAGCCGGCCUGAGAGGGUGGACGGUCACACUGGGACUGAGACACGGCCCAGACUCCUACGAGAGGCAGCAGUGGGGAAUAUUGCACAAUGGGCGCAAGCCUGAUGCAGCGACGCCGCGUGAGGGAUGGAGGCCUGCGGGUUGUGAACCUCUUUCGCCAGUGAAGCAGGCCUGCCUCGUUUGUGGGUGGGUUGACGGUAGCUGGAGAAGAAGCGCCGGCUAACUACGUG
rnacentral:rRNA from 1 species